GUGAAUGAGGAGAAGGUGGUGACCUUGCAAAUUAGAUAAGGAAGGGCAUUUCAAGAAAAAAAGUGAUCACGGAAAAAAGUGUGUAAAGAGUUUUUGGAGAAGAGGACAAAAAAUAUACAGGCUGCCAGCAUGAGUGAAGCGGAGGAGUCCGUAGGAACAACAUUCUAAAGAGCACAAGACCAUACAGGAAGAAAAGGUUGACUUUUUAGAGGUGUUCUGAAAGGAGGAGGAUCUGGAUCUGAAUGUGAGGGAUGAAGGAAAGAGGAAGAAGCUGAUGAAGACACCAAAGGCUCUUCAUGACUACUGGCUGAAAGGUUGGGGACCAGCACAGGAGUGCGGCACUGUUACAUUUGGCCACCAUUGGAUACAAAAGUGGCUUGGUUUCAUAACCCAAAAUGACAGCUGGA